GACCUAUCAUGUUGAAACACCGGUUCUCAACCGAUCACCGAAGUUAAGCAAUAUAGAGCUUGAUUAUAACCUAGUUGGGUGACCGCUUGGGAAUACCAGGUGCUGUAA